GGACAUAUGGAAGUUGGGAAGUCCUUACCCAAAAUUGCCAACAAGUAGAUUGCUUUGCUUUUAAUGACUCAGAUUGUUGGCGCUCCAAACCAUAGGGAGAUACAUCUUUUACACUGAAAAAGAGCAUUCGGUCAUUAGCAGACGUUAUACACUUUUGUUUGGUUUUUGCUUUUAGUUAACAGUCUAAUACCAAGCCAUCAUUUAUGUAUGUGGGCAGGUUUUUCAGAGGAUUGGUUAAGUCUGCUCCAUUCUCAUCAUCGACUACAGAGUUUUUCAACUCCCCACCCCCCAAUCAUCCUCCUAAAGAAGGUUGUAGAUAUUUCCCCUUAAUGACCACCCCAAUAUACAAACUUAAUACUUCAGAUAUACUGUAUGUAUAUAUGUCUGUGCUUUAUGGCUAAAAAAGAAAUGCUAGAAUUUCAUCGUCUCCCCCACCUUCCCUGCCCCCUGUAAGAGUUGAGACUGUGUGGUCUAGACAAAAGGCCCCAAAGGGCUGAAGCUAACCUCAGCAUCUUCUUUUUUUUUGGGGGGGGGGUCUUUUUGCCAUUUCUUGGGCUGCUCCCAUGGCAUAUGGAGGUUCCCCAGGCUGGCAGCUAUAGCUCCAAUUUGACCCCUAGCCUGGGAACCUCCAUAUGCUGCAGGAGCAGCAGAAAUGGCAAAAAGACAAAAAGACCAAAAAAAAAAAAAAAGGGCUUUUCUCCAUAAAAUGGUUUGGAUACCUAGGUCCUUUCUGUUGGGAACCUCUGCUAUCUCUUGGGACCUUGAUGUCCUCUAGAUCCAGCCAUCAGGUGGGGGGAUGGGACAGAUUGCAUGUUGGCACGAGUCAUGCUUGGAAGUGACAGCCUACAUCACUUCCCUUCCCGUGUCAUUGACUAGAAUGCAUUCCUGUGGAGUCCCUGUGUGGCUUAGCAGGUUAAGAACCUGAAAUAAUGUCCGUGAGGAUUCGAGUUUGAUCCCUAGCCUUGCUCAGUGGGUUAAGGAUCCAGCAUUGCCACAGCGUGCGGUGUAAGUUGCAGAUACAGCUUGGAGGCUGCAUUGCUGUGACUGUGGCGUAGGCUGGUAGCUGCAGCUCCAAUUCAACCCCCAGCCUGGGGACUUCCAUAAGCUGCAGGUGUGGCCCUAAAAAAAAAAAAAA
rnacentral:lncRNA from 1 species